UUACCCUUGUAGGAUGGCCAAAAUUAGGAUGGCUAAAUUAAUGGAGGCCAGAGAAAUAAAAUGUUGUUUUUUUUUUAAAGGAAAAUUGCACAACGUCGCCUCAGCUAGGCUGGAUGGCUGCUGUGCAAGAAUGAAGGCUACCUGACAGGCUCACUUUCCUGUUGAACUCGUCAUGAUUCUUCUCGAAUCCUCAGAACAUAAAACAACAAGGAAAAUGCCAUGGACACUAUCUGAUGUGUGGAGACAUUUCACUGCAGCUAAUGUAGAAGGAAAAGCUGUGUACAUUUGCAAAUACUGUGCCAAAUCAUAUGCCAAGUGCAUGAAGUUCCCUAAGCGCUCACAACAAGCAACCUCUGACAAAAAUCCCUCUACUUCCAUUUGAGGUGAAAAUGAUGAAUAAGACACCUUAUCGAUAGCAACAGCUCACGAUAAGCUCACCUCCUGGAAUCAGAAGUGUUUUUGACACAAUGGAGGAGCAUAGUCAGAGAAAUGCUGAUGAAUGUCUUGCUCAAGCUGUGUAUGCAACUGGUUCACCUCUGAGCUAACUUAUUUUCCACCAUAAUUUGCAAAUAAAUUCAUAAAAAAUUCUACAA